CAGCCGAGCGGUAGAAUUCUUUCGGGAAUUUGAGAGCGGCGUACGGGUGCGGAACACGUGUGCAACCUGCCUUUAUCAGGGGGAUAGCCUUUCGAAAGGAAGAUUAAUACCCCAUAAUAUAAUUGAUGGCAUCAUUGAUUAUUGAAAACUGCGGUGGAUAAAGAUGGGCACGCGCAAGAUUAGAUAGUUGGUAGGGUAACGGCCUACCAAGUCGAUGAUCUUUAGGGGGCCUGAGAGGGUGAUCCCCCACACUGGUACUGAGACACGGACCAGACUCCUACGGGAGGCAGCAGUGAGGAAUAUUGGACAAUGGGUGAGAGCCUGAUCCAGCCAUCCCGCGUGAAGGACGACGGCCCUAUGGGUUGUAAACUUCUUUUGUAUAGGGAUAAACCUUUCCACGUGUGGAAAGCUGAAGGUACUAUACGAAUAAGCACCGGCUAACUCCGUGCCAGCAGCCGCGGUAAUACGGAGGGUGCAAGCGUUAUCCGGAUUUAUUGGGUUUAAAGGGUCCGUAGGCGGAUCUGUAAGUCAGUGGUGAAAUCUCACAGCUUAACUGUGAAACUGCCAUUGAUACUGCAGGUCUUGAGUAAGGUAGAAGUAGCUGGAAUAAGUAGUGUAGCGGUGAAAUGCAUAGAUAUUACUUAGAACACCAAUUGCGAAGGCAGGUUACUAUGUCUUAACUGACGCUGAUGGACGAAAGCGUGGGGAGCGAACAGGAUUAGAUACCCUGGUAGUCCACGCCGUAAACGAUGCUAACUCGUUUUUGGGCUUUCGGAUUCAGAGACUAAGCGAAAGUGAUAAGUUAGCCACCUGGGGAGUACGUUCGCAAGAAUGAAACUCAAAGGAAUUGACGGGGGCCCGCACAAGCGGUGGAUUAUGUGGUUUAAUUCGAUGAUACGCGAGGAACCUUACCAAGGCUUAAAUGGGAAUUGAUCGGUUUAGAAAUAGACCUUCCUUCGGGCAAUUUUCAAGGUGCUGCAUGGUUGUCGUCAGCUCGUGCCGUGAGGUGUUAGGUUAAGUCCUGCAACGAGCGCAACCCCUGUCACUAGUUGCCAUCAUUCAGUUGGGGACUCUAGUGAGACUGCCUACGCAAGUAGAGAGGAAGGUGGGGAUGACGUCAAAUCAUCACGGCCCUUACGCCUUGGGCCACACACGUAAUACAAUGGCCGGUACAGAGGGCAGCUACCAGGCGACGGGAUGCAAAUCUCGAAAGCCGGUCUCAGUUCGGAUUGGAGUCUGCAACUCGACUCUAUGAAGCUGGAAUCGCUAGUAAUCGCGCAUCAGCCAUGGCGCGGUGAAUACGUUCCCGGGCCUUGUACACACCGCCCGUCAAGCCAUGGAAGUCUGGGGUACCUGAAGUCGGUGACCGUAAAAGGA
rnacentral:rRNA from 1 species